rnacentral:rRNA from 1 species
CCUACGGGAGGCUGCAGUAGGGAAUAUUGCUCAAUGGGGGAAACCCUGAAGCAGCAACGCCGCGUGAGGGAUGAAGGUUUUCGGAUCGUAAACCCCUUUCGUUAGGGAAGAAAGUGCAGGUUUCUAAUCAACAAGCACUGGCCAAUUCCGGCCCAGCAGCCGCGGUAAUACGGAGGGUGAACGCGUUACCCGGAAUCACUGGGCGUAAAGAGCGCGUAGGUGGGAUGGCAAGUCAAAUGUGAAAUCCUUGGGCUUAACCAUAGAACUGCAUUUGAAACUGUUAAACUAGAGUGUGUGAGAGGAAAGUGGAAUUCUAGGUGUAGGGGUAAAAUCCGUAGAGAUCUGGAGGAAUA